AAGAAAACUAUCCAGUGGUUUCUAAAAGUUAUCAUCUCCAAGUUAGAAACCCUUCAAGAAACCAAUGUUAAAUGCACAGUAGUUUGUGGAAUAGCUGAAGUAAAAGGAAAUGUUGAUUUUUCUCAUCGAUGCGUAAAAGAUACCUGUAAGUCUCACUCAACAUAUUUCACUCAACAAAAGAAAACUCCCUUCAUGCUUUUCUAUUACUAAAAGUUACAGUAAAAUAUAAAAUGAUUGCCAGUGGUGCUGGAAUGGUUGUCUGGUCUGGGGUGUGGACCCUGGGAAUUCCCAGCCUCAGACUUACUGCUUUGCUAAUACCUGUGGGUGGCGCCUCAGGGCUGAUGAAGCUUUGUGUGAAUGCUUGCUUAGUCUUUGGGAACCUGGCACGGGCAGCCAGCAGAUUUCUGAUCUCUGGUUUGCAUUGAUCUUACAUUUAGACACAGAUUCAGAAGAACAGACCCUCCCUUUUCCAGUGCCUUCGGAAAGAUUGCCGCUCCGUAGAAUGAGUCCUUUCUCCUCCACCCUUAAUCUACAACCCAGCUUCCCCGGGAGAUCCUACUUUGAUUUCCGGUCCUCACCCCACCAGCUGAGCUUGCAUUCUUCUUUACAGUCUCUCAAUGCACCGGG
rnacentral:lncRNA from 1 species